UGCAGCGACGCCGCGUGAGCGAUGAAGUAUUUCGGUAUGUAAAGCUCUAUCAGCAGGGAAGAAAAUGACGGUACCUGACUAAGAAGCCCCGGCUAACUACGUGCC
rnacentral:rRNA from 1 species